AUUCGGGACGGAUUUUCCAAACCCGACUCCAAACGCGAAUUCUGAACCCGACAGAUUUUAAAAAUCCAUAUCCAAACCUGAAUCCCACCAAAAAUCCGAACCCAAAAUCCGACCCGAAACAAUUAUUUUUCUGUUCAAUAUUUCAAAAUAUAUUAUAUUAAAUCUAAAUUUUUAAAAUAGAAAUUUAAAUAUAACAUCAAAUUUUUAUAUACAUAUUAUAUAUAAUGUAAAAUAAAUUCGGGUUCGGGUUGGGUAUAGUCAAAAUAUAUAUCCGUAUCCAUAUCCGUCAAGUUUUUAUUUUUGAUAUCCAUAUCCGAAAUCAUAUCCAUAUAGCAUCAGAUAAAUUGUUCCGUUCAGGUUCAGAUUCGGAUAAAAUUUCGGGUAUCCGUAUUCAUUGACAUCCCUAGUGCAAAUGCAGUAACGCGGUAAUAGAGUUUUUUUCUGCAAUUUUUCUAGAAUGCAUGACAAGUAGGUGAAUUAAUUGUGUGAAGUCGACUUAGGUAGAAGAUGGUGGGCUUGAAUUAUCGGACCAUCCUCGACAAUCUAAUGACAUAUAACCGAAACCUGCGACCCGACCAAGCCAAAUCGGGUCCGGUCAAAAAAGGCAGGUCCCUAUUUUUUUUCUUUUCUUUUCUUUUCUUGAGAGAUAGAUAGCACGCUUUCCAUUUCAUUUAUUUUAUUUAGAAAUAAACUUACUUGAAAAUAUGAAUCAACUAGAAUUCGAACUUAGUGUUAGUUUAUAAGCGUGUUUAUUUGUUUAAUUUUAUUUGUUUUGUUGAAAAGUUAUGUAUCUUAUGAAACGGUGUGUCCUUUUUGUAAGGUUGUGUCUUUUGGUUUAGGGUCAUGUCUUUUAGUGAAGGGUUGUUUUUUUUUGUGAAGAGUUGCGUCGUUUCAUACUCUAUAAAUAGAGAGCAUGUAAUUUGUUGUAUAGUGUUGUGAACAUAGUUAGUUAAUUCGGAUUCGGCAAAAAUUCGGUACGGGUAUAAUUCGGAUAAAAUUCUUCUUUUAAUUUUUAAAUUCGUUGAAAAAUACGGCUAAAAAACGGAUUCGGUAAUUAUUCGGAUACAUGAUUUAUACGGAUAUUAUACGUUCACCAAUUAAAAAUUCGGGAUAAAAAUUCGGCUAUAUAAUAAAUAUAUAAUAAUUAAUAUACAAUAUAUAUUAUUAUUAUUAUAAUUUUUAUAUAUAGAUUAAAUAUAUUCAAAAUUAUAAUAAACAUAUAUUAAUAAUAUAUAAGAUUUAUAUAUUUAAAAAUAUUAAUAAACUCAGAUCUGUGCAGAUCUGAAGACUAAUUUAUUCCAAUUAAUCUUAGAUAAUUAACUCUUCCAUCCUAAUUAACUCUCCCAAUUAACUCUCCCAAUUGACUUCUCUGGUUAAUUGUCAAUUAACCCUCGUACAGCACCCCUCCUCGUCCCUUUCCUCCGGCACCAGCAGCACCCUCCUCGACCACCGUUGCCACUCCAAACCCCGAGGGUGGCGUCCCAUGAGGCAACAUUGGUGAUCGGGGCUGCUGUUCCCGAUAGAGGCAUAGACGAAGAACGGGUUUCUAAGCAACGGAGAAGGCAUCCACGACGAUAAUGUCGAGGUGGAAGGCACGAUGAUGCUACCGGCGGUGAGGGAGACGAUGUCGACCCACCGACCACAACGAUGUCGAAUGUGACGAGGAUGUCGGAGUUGAAGCACCCUCGGCCCCAUCCCGGAGGCAAGGGGUAGUUGGGGAAGAGAGGGAGGUGGUAGUGGUGGGCGGCGGCAANCGAAUCCCACCAAAAAUCCGAACCCAAAAUCCGACCCGAAACAAUUAUUUUUCUGUUCAAUAUUUCAAAAUAUAUUAUAUUAAAUCUAAAUUUUUAAAAUACAAAUUUAAAUAUAAUAUCAAAUUUUUAUAUACAUAUUAUAUAGGGCGCGUUUGGUUCGCGCUAUCUUUUAAAGAUUUCUAGUAAUCUAAUGAGAAUAAAAAAAUAUGACGGUGUUUGGCUAAACGCACUAAGUAAUCUAGUCAGUAAUAUUGGAUUCACUUGGGAAUAUGAUUCACCCCAAAGUACUAAUCUCAUUCCCUUGAGGGAUGAUGGGUAUCCUCAUAUUAAUGAAUUUGGGUAAUCAUAAUAGAUCUAAUAUCUUUCUUUCUUCCUACCCGCCUGCUAAUUGAUAUUAUUUUUCUUUACACUCUAACCUUAUAUCUCUCUCUAAACUUAUUUUUCUCUCUAAAAUUCAACUUUUUUUUCUCUCUCUAAACUAAGCUUUCUCUCUCUCUCUCUCUCUCUCUUUCUAAAAUUUCAACUCUCUCACUUCCUCUAAUUUCGACUAUAUUUUUCUUUCUAUUUUUUUAAUUAUGCUCUCUCUCUCUCUAACUUAUACUCUAGCUCUCUCCCUUUUUUCUAAAAAGAUGUUGAAACUUUUGGUAACAUUAUCUAAAAUUAAUUAAAUAAAUUAAUUAAUUAAUUGUAUAUUUUUUGCAAUAUUAAAUAAUAUGGCUAAUUCAUAUUACUGUGCGAACCAAACACAGAAAUUCCACAUUCUUAGUAAUAGGAUGAAUAGGAAUAAGAUUCUCGAAUAUCUUUUAUUUCUAGUAAUUUUUCAUAAUGCGAACCAAACGCACCCAUAAUGUAAAAUAAAUUCGGGUUCGGGUUGGGUAUAGUCAAAAUAUAUAUCCGUAUUCAUAUCCGUCAAGUUUUUAUUUUUGAUAUCCAUAUCCGAAAUCAUAUCCAUAUAGCAUCAGAUAAAUUGUUCCGUUCAGGUUCAGAUUCAGAUAAAAUUUCGAGUAUCCGUAUUCAUUGACAUCCCUAGUGCAAAUGCAGUAACACGGUAAUAGA
rnacentral:lncRNA from 1 species